rnacentral:rRNA from 1 species
AGUGAACGCUGGCGGUAGGCCUAACACAUGCAAGUCGAACGGCAGCACAGUAAGAGCUUGCUCUUACGGGUGGCGAGUGGCGGACGGGUGAGGGAUACAUCGGGAUCUACUUUUUCGUGGGGGAUAACGUAGGGAAACUUACGCUAAUACCGCAUACGACCUACGGGUGAAAGCAGGGGAUCUUCGGACCUUGCGCGAUUGAAUGAGCCGAUGUCGGAUUAGCUAGUUGGCGGGGUAAAGGCCCACCAAGGCGACGAUCCGUAGCUGGUCUGAGAGGAUGAUCAGCCACACUGGAGCUGAGACACGGUCCAGACUCCUACGGGAGGCAGCAGUGGGGAAUAUUGGACAAUGGGCGCAAGCCUGAUCCAGCCAUACCGCGUGGGUGAAGAAGGCCUUCGGGUUGUAAAGCCCUUUUGUUGGGAAAGAAAAGCAGCAGGUUAAUACCCCGCUGUUCUGACGGUACCCAAAGAAUAAGCACCGGCUAACUUCGUG